GACGAACGCUGGCGGCAUGCCUAACACAUGCAAGUCGAACGAGACCUUCGGGUCUAGUGGCGCACGGGUGCGUAACGCGUGGGAACCUGCCCUUAGGUUCGGAAUAACUCCCCGAAAGGGGUGCUAAUACCGGAUAAUGUCUUCGGACCAAAGAUUUAUCGCCUUUGGAUGGGCCCGCGUUGGAUUAGCUAGUUGGUAGGGUAAAAGCCUACCAAGGCGACGAUCCAUAGCUGGUCUGAGAGGAUGAUCAGCCACACUGGGACUGAGACACGGCCCAGACCCCUACGGAAGGCAGCAGUGGGGAAUAUUGGCCAUUGGGCGAAAGCCUGAUCCAGCAAUGCCGCGUGAGUGAUGAAGGCCUUAGGUUUGUAAAGCUCUUUACCCGGGAUGAUAAUGACAGUACCGGGAGAAUAAGCUCCGGCUAACUCCGUG
rnacentral:rRNA from 1 species